AUUGAACGCUGGCGGCAGGCCUAACACAUGCAAGUCGAACGAGUGGCGGACGGGUGAGUAAUGUCUGGGAAACUGCCCGAUGGAGGGGGAUAACUACUGGAAACGGUAGCUAAUACCGCAUACCAUCGGAUGUGCCCAGAUGGGAUUAGCUGGUAGGUGAGGUAACGGCUCACCUAGGCGACGAUCCCUAGCUGGUCUGGGAGGAGGACAAGCCACACUGGAACUGAGACACGUGCCAGACGCCUCCGGGAGGCAGCAGGGGGGAAUAUUGCACAAGGGGCGCAAGCCUGAUGCAGCCAUGCCGCGUGUAUGAAGAAGGCCUUCGGGUUGUAAAGUACUUUCAGCGGGGAGGCGUUACCCGCAGAAGAAGCACCGGCUAACUCCGUGCCAGCAGCCGCGGUAAUAC
rnacentral:rRNA from 1 species